rnacentral:rRNA from 1 species
CCUACGUGGCGCUGCAGUGGGGAAUAUUGCACAAUGGGGGAAACCCUGAUGCAGCCACGCCGCGUGAGUGAAGCAGUAUUUCGGUAUGUAAAGCUCUAUCAGCAGGGAAGAAAAUGACAGUACCUGACUGAGAAUCCCCGUCUAACUACGUGCCAGCAGCCGCGGUAAUACGGAGGGUGCAAGCGUUAUCCGGAUUUACUGGGUGUAAUGGGAGCGUAGACGGCUGCGCAAGUCAGAAGUGAAAGCCCGGGGCUCAACCGCGGGACUGCUUUUGAAACUGUGUAGCUAGAGGGCAGGAGAGGUAAGUGGAAUUCCUAGUGUAGCGGUGAAAUGCGUAGAUAUUAGGAGGAACACCGGUGGCGAAGGCGGCUUACUGGACUGUAACUGACGUUGAGGCUCGAAAGCGUGGGGAGCAAACAGGAUUAGAUACCCCAGUAGUC